GAUGAAGAACGUAGCGAAAUGCGAUACUUGGUGUGAAUUGCAGAAUCCCGUGAACCAUCGAGUCUUUGAACGCAAGUUGCGCCCGAAGCCAUAGGCCGAGGGCACGCCUGCCUGGGCGUCACACGUCGUUGCCCCCCAUCUACUCCUUCGGGAUUGCGGGGGGCGGAUGAUGGCCUCCCGUGCGCCUCGUCGCGCGGUUGGCAUAAAUGCCAAGUCCUCGGCGACGCACGCCACGACAAUCGGUGGUUGCGAAACCUCGGUUGCCCGUCGUGUGCGGUCGUCGCGCAUCGAGGGCUCGAAAAAAUUGCCGGGCUCCGGCUCGGCUUUCAACGCGACCCCAGGUCAGGCGGGGUUACCCGCUGAAUUUAAGCAUAUCAAUAAGCGGAGGA
rnacentral:misc_RNA from 1 species